UACGAGAGGCCCAAACAUUAUUCGGAAUUACUGGGCUUAAAGAGUUCGUAGGCGGCAUGGUAAGUAGGGUGUGAAAUCCCUCGGCUCAACCGAGGAAUUGCGCUCUAAACUACCGUGCUCGAGGAAGCUAGAGGUGAGCGGAACUGAUGGUGGAGCGGUGAAAUGCGUUGAUAUCAUCAGGAACACCGGAGGCGAAGGCGGCUCACUGGGGCUUUUCUGACGCUGAGGAACGGAAAGCCAGGGUAGCGAACGGG
rnacentral:rRNA from 1 species